AUGGAAGAGGCGGCGGCGGCGAACUGCGUGAUGGGGUGCAUACACACCGACCUCCUGCAGGACACCGCUGCGUUGCUCUGGACGCGCAUCCUCCUCCGCCCCACUGCCGACCCGGCCGGCGCACGACGCAACGCCGAGGCAUUCAGUGGCAGCAGGAAUCCAUCCACUGCAUCCCCGGCAAACCUCCCUGUGCUCCAUUGCGCAGGCGUCGUCCGGGUGUCCGUCAAGGGCGAGUUUUCUGCGACUGGCCUAUGGGGACAUAAAGUAGUACUGGAGAUUUGGUGGUUCUUUUUUCGGAUUUUCACCUGCACCAGCAAUGUAGCGGAGAGACUCAGAAUCUUGGAGGCAGUCCCGGUCUCUGACUGGAGGUUUGGCAGCAAGCCACCAUAUCUCCAGUACUACUUUAUGUCACCAUGGACUCGAGUAUCGGUGAGUGCAGCACGGGUCUCCCACCGCUACAACUUUAGCUUCUCCUAAUUCUUAACGCACGAAGCGUGCAAGAGCUCUGGAAAGACCAUGUCCCCGAGACUGAGCACUUGCCGUGUACCAACCCAGCUGCUCGGGAUCCAACUCAUUCUGCUGGUUUUCUUCAUCAACGGCAGCCUCCUCGUCCUCCCCGCCGCGUCAGCCUACUACAAUGCAUCUGCGCCUGCGGCUGCGAGAGUAUACCUCCCCUUUGGUAAAUCGGGAAUAUACCUCCCCCCUGGUAAAUCGGGAAACUUAAACGUGUUCGGUGGACCACGAACCGCUACUCCACAUCCUCACGCUAACCAACCGGAGGGGAUUCCUCGGCGCAGAGAGCGCAAACACUAGGCGCCUGAGAGGUGCACGUGCAGCGAGACAACGGGGGAUGAACACAUGUAGUAGCUUUGAUAGGGAAUCAAAUAACCUUGCGUGGUUGGGCCAAUGGGCGCGUUACUUGUAUUUGUGAUGCAUAUGCAGCUUGUUAAACAAGUUUGUGUGCAACUUGCAAUUUCUGUUUCCUUGUCCUUCGAGGGACUCGCUAAUGUUAUACGUACUCGAUCGACAAUUGGUAUCUCCUUUGUACUCCAUUAUUGAAACCGCUCGUAUGUGGAAAGGUUAUUGAAACAAUUUGAUCGAUUGGGCCAACAAAG
rnacentral:rRNA from 1 species